UACAGAGGGGGCAAGCGUUGUUCGGAAUUACUGGGCGUAAAGGGCGCGUAGGCGGCCUUCUAAGUCGAACGUGAAAUCCCCGGGCUCAACCCGGGAACUGCGUCCGAUACUGGAAGGCUUGAAUCCGGGAGAGGGAUGCGGAAUUCCGAGGUGUAGCGGUGAAAUGCGUAGAUAUCUGGAGGAACACCGGUGGCGAAGGCGGCAUCCUG
rnacentral:rRNA from 1 species